rnacentral:tRNA from 1 species
CUUUUAUGGUGUAUAUAGCAUUAGAAGUUUUCAAUUUCUAGGGAUAAUUUUAGAAAAAACGUUAUUAAAAG